rnacentral:ncRNA from 1 species
AGGAGCCGUAUGAGGUGAAAAUCUCAUGUACGGUUUUGGAACAUUAGGUAUUUUUACCGAUUAUGUCGUUUUACUCGUUUUCACGUAAAAUCGCUUAGCAAAAGUUGUUUAACUGUAAC